CCUGCCUCUAGAAGUGUUGCCGGUAUGAAUGCUGUGUCAUAUGUGCCAUACAUAGUAGGUGACAGAGAGGAGAUAGGCUAUGUCUACAUUCAGUGUUCUGACCUAUGAUCAUCUGAAUGAUUCGUGACCUAACAUU
rnacentral:snoRNA from 1 species